AUACGGAGGAUCCGAGCGUUAUCCGGAUUUAUUGGGUUAAAGGGAGCGUAGGUGGGAUAUUAAGUCAGCUGUGAAAGUUUGGGGCUCAACCUUAAAAUUGCAGUUGAUACUGGUUUCCUUGAGUACGGUACAGGUGGGCGGAAUUCGUGGUGUAGCGGUGAAAUGCUUAGAUAUCACGAAGAACUCCGAUCGCGAAGGCAGCUCACCGGGCCGGAACUGACACUGAUGCUCGAAAGUGCGGGUAUCAAACAGGAUUAGAUACCCUGGUAGUCCGCACAGUAAACGAUGAAUACUCGCUGUUUGCGAUACACUGUAAGCGGCCAAGCGAAAGCAUUAAGUAUUCCACCUGGGGAGUACGCCGGCAACGGUGAAACUCAAAGGAAUUGACGGGG
rnacentral:rRNA from 1 species